rnacentral:rRNA from 1 species
AUUGAACGCUGGCGGCAUGCCUUACACAUGCAAGUCGAACGGUAACAGGUCUUCGGAUGCUGACGAGUGGCGAACGGGUGAGUAAUACAUCGGAACGUGCCUAGUAGUGGGGGAUAACUACUCGAAAGAGUGGCUAAUACCGCAUGAGAUCUACGGAUGAAAGCAGGGGAUCGCAAGACCUUGUGCUACUAGAGCGGCCGAUGGCAGAUUAGGGAGUUGGUGGGAUGAAAGCUUACCAAGCCGACGAUCUGUAGCUGGUCUGAGAGGACGAUCAGCCAAACUGGGACUGAGACACGGCCCAGAUCCUACGGGAGGCAGCAGUGGGGAAUUUUGGGCAAUGGGCGCAAGCCUGAUCCAGCAAUGCCGCGUGCAGGAUGAAGGCCUUCGGGUUGUAAACUGCUUUUGUACGGAACGAAAAGCCCUGGGUUAAUACCCUGGGGUCAUGACGGUACCGUAAGAAUAAGCACCGGCUAACUACGUGCCAGCCGCCGCGGUAACAC